AGUAAGAUACAAUAGUAUUCUCUUUUAUUUCUGGUAGUGAAAAUAUACAAGCAAGAAUUUGAAAUCUUUCUAGCUUGUUCUUAUGAAAGAAAUGAAGUGUCACAGCUUAGUUGUAAACUGUAAAGCACAUCAAAGGUCUCAAGGAAAAGUGUUGUGAGCUGUAGCUGUGUCAGAGCAUCUUGCUUUUUCCAUUUAUAAAUAUUAGGCAGCCUUGUUCCAGUCUAGGGAGAAAUCAGUUUUCCUUAACUCACUUCAGCAAGCUGUGUCUCAUGGGAAUUGCAGAAACACCAGGCUGUGCCAGUCUGCUUCCAGCAUCAUUGUUCAGCAGCACUAACCCAGGAGCUCGACCUGGAAUGCUGUGCAGUUUCAAGAUAUCCACUGCCUGGUCCUGCGCUUGGUGCCUAAAUCCCCAAGCAGACAACUGCUUUAGCACAGGCCUGACGCGACGAGUUCUUGUGACCAAUGUAGUGACAGGGCAUCGUCAGACGUUUGGAACCAGCAGUGAUGUGCUGGCACAGCAGUU